rnacentral:rRNA from 1 species
GGCGAACGGGUGAGUAAUAUAUCGGAACGUACCCAGGAGUGGGGGAUAACGUAGCGAAAGUUACGCUAAUACCGCAUACGUCCUAAGGGAGAAAGCGGGGGAUCGCAAGACCUCGUGCUCAUGGAGCGGCCGAUAUCUGAUUAGCUAGUUGGUGGGGUAAAAGCCUACCAAGGCAACGAUCAGUAGCUGGUCUGAGAGGACGACCAGCCACACUGGAACUGAGACACGGUCCAGACUCCUACGGGAGGCAGCAGUGGGGAAUUUUGGACAAUGGGGGCAACCCUGAUCCAGCAAUGCCGCGUGAGUGAAGAAGGCCCUCGGGUUGUAAAGCUCUUUUGUCAGGGAAGAAAAGGUUGGGGCUAAUAUCCCGGACUCAUGACGGUACCUGAAGAAUAAGCACCGGCUAACUACGUGCCAGCAGCCGCGGUAAUACGUAGGGUGCAAGCGUUAAUCGGAAUUACUGGGCGUAAAGCGUGCGCAGGCGGUUUUGUAAGACUGUCGUGAAAUCCCCGGGCUUAACCUGGGAAUGGCGAUGGUGACUGCAAGGCUAGAGUUUGGCAGAGGGGGGUAGAAUUCCACGUGUAGCAGUGAAAUGCGUAGAUAUGUGGAGGAACACCGAUGGCGAAGGCAGCCCCCUGGGUCAAAACUGACGCUCAUGCACGAAAGCGUGGGGAGCAAACAGGAUUAGAUACCCUGGUAGUCCACGCCCUAAACGAUGUCUACUAGUUGUCGGGUCUUAAUUGACUUGGUAACGCAGCUAACGCGUGAAGUAGACCGCCUGGGGAGUACGGUCGCAAGAUUAAAACUCAAAGGAAUUGACGGGGACCCGCACAAGCGGUGGAUGAUGUGGAUUAAUUCGAUGCAACGCGAAAAACCUUACCUACCCUUGACAUGGCAGGAAUCCCGGAGAGAUCUGGGAGUGCUCGAAAGAGAACCUGCACACAGGUGCUGCAUGGCUGUCGUCAGCUCGUGUCGUGAGAUGUUGGGUUAAGUCCCGCAACGAGCGCAACCCUUGUCAUUAGUUGCUACGAAAGGGCACUCUAAUGAGACUGCCGGUGACAAACCGGAGGAAGGUGGGGAUGACGUCAAGUCCUCAUGGCCCUUAUGGGUAGGGCUUCACACGUCAUACAAUGGUACAUACAGAGGGCCGCCAACCCGCGAGGGGGAGCUAAUCCCAGAAAGUGUAUCGUAGUCCGGAU